rnacentral:rRNA from 1 species
UGGGGAAUAUUGCACAAUGGGCGAAAGCCUGAUGCAGCAACGCCGCGUGAGUGAUGAAGGUCUUCGGAUUGUAAAGCUCUGUCUUUUGGGACGAUAAUGACGGUACCAAAGGAGGAAGCCACGGCUAACUACGUGCCAGCAGCCGCGGUAAUACGUAGGUGGCGAGCGUUGUCCGGAUUUACUGGGCGUAAAGGGUGCGUAGGCGGAUGUUUAAGUGAGAUGUGAAAUACCCGGGCUUAACUUGGGUGCUGCAUUUCAAACUGGAUAUCUAGAGCGCAGGAGAGGAGAAUGGAAUUCCUAGUGUAGCGGUGAAAUGCGUAGAGAUUAGGAAGAACACCAGUGGCGAAGGCGAUUCUCUGGACUGUAACUGACGCUGAGGCACGAAAGCGUGGGUAGCAAACAGGAUUAGAUACCCUGGUAGUCCACGCCGUAAACGAUGAGUACUAGGUGUAGGAGGUAUCGACCCCUUCUGUGCCG